GCAGAAGAAGCACCGGCUAACUCCGUGCCUAGCAGCCGCGGUAAUACGGAGGGUGCGAGCGUUAAUCGGGAAUUACUGGGCGUAAAGCGCAUGCAGGUGGUUGUUAAGUCAGAUGUGAAAGCCCGGGGCUCAACCUCGGAAUUGCAUUUGAAACUGGCAAACUAGAGUACUGUAGAGGGGGUAGAAUUUCAGGUGUAGCGGUGAAAUGCGUAGAGAUCUGAAGGAAUACCGGUGGCGAAGGCGGCCCCCUGGACAGAUACUGACACUCAGAUGCGAAAGCGUGGGGAGCAAACCAGGAUUAGAUACCCUCGGUAG
rnacentral:rRNA from 1 species